AUAACCACCAAGGGUGGUUAGCAUCAUGUCUAUUUUCACCCUAUGAAAACCUGAAGCCGCUGCUGGAAACAGCCAAUCCGGGGCGGGGAUUCCUGACCCCUGCGAUUUCCCCAAAUGCGGGAAACAUGAAUGCAUAAUUUGUGGUAGUGGGGGACUGCGUUUGUGCUCUCCCGAU
rnacentral:snRNA from 1 species